ACUCCUACGGGAGGCAGCAGUGAGGAAUAUUGGUCAAUGGUCGCAAGACUGAACCAGCCAUGCCGCGUGCAGGAAGACGGUCCUAUGGAUUGUAAACUGCUUUUUAUACAGGAAGAAACCCUCCCACGUGUGGGAGCUUGACGGUACUGUAGGAAUAAGGAUCGGCUAACUCCGUGCCAGCAGCCGCGGUAAUACGGAGGAUCCAAGCGUUAUCCGGAAUCAUUGGGUUUAAAGGGUCCGUAGGCGGCCUUAUAAGUCAGUGGUGAAAGCCCAUCGCUCAACGAUGGAACUGCCAUUGAUACUGUAAGGCUUGAAUUAUUGUGAAGUAACUAGAAUAUGUAGUGUAGCGGUGAAAUGCUUAGAUAUUACAUGGAAUACCAAUUGCGAAGGCAGGUUACUAACAAUGGAUUGACGCUGAUGGACGAAAGCGUGGGAGCGAACAGGAUUAGAUACCCCUGGUAGGAUACCG
rnacentral:rRNA from 1 species